rnacentral:lncRNA from 1 species
UUUUGACUUGCCCUUUAAGAAGCCGCAAAAUAAUUGCAUCUUCUGUAAUGCCUUACGUGAAAUUUUUCCCCCCUUUAUAAAUUUCACUUUCAAUCCCCAUCUCGUAUAAUAUCGUCUUCGUUUACUCUGAAUUUCAUCAUAUCUUUCGCACCAUAAAAUUUAUAUAAUUUUCUUCCAUUUAUCAGAUAACGAUCAUCAUGUCUCAGGUACAUCUAUUCCCUUUUAAAUUUUUCUUUCGGGCAAUUAAUUGCGUUUUAUUUUUAUUAUUUGAUAUGUUUGGUGUUGGAUUUUCUGAUUGUGUUUUUAUUGCCCCUAGAAUUUAGAUAUUGCAUCGGGGAAUUUUUUGCGAUUGUUGAUUUUUUGGUUGGAAAUUAUCGAAUUGGGGUUUGAUUUUCUGAGCUGAAAAAUAAGGAAAUGCAUCAAAUUGAUGUAGUAUUCUAUUGAAUUCUGCUAAAUUGUGUUCAUAUGAAUAUUAAUCUGACCUUUUUUGUUGCCAUAGAUGUAUGAGGCCUGUUGUUUAGAUUUAAAUGAUGAGAAUAAUUUCGCGAACUCCUUCGUUUGUUGUUCUCUUCAUUUUUGUUCAAUUAUCUUUGAUAUAAAAUAAAAUAAAAUUACUUAGAAGACUUGGUCAUCUUUCUUUUACGGACUGUUUGAAGAGCUGAUAUUACCUUUUAUCAUGAGAACUGAAAAAUGAAUUUUCCUAUUAAAAGGUAUACGCAACUAUGAAACUAUUGUCUGGUUGUACUUUAAGGAUGGCCUGAAAACAAUCAAAGAUUCAGAGUGUUACAGUGCAGCACUCUCAAAAAAAAUUAGCUUGUAUAUUAAUAAAACUUGAAUGAAGGAUGUAUUCUGGUUUAAAUAUUAGACCCCGUGAUUUUAUGAUAAGUUAAUGCAAAUUCAUUUACAUGCCUAUGUUUUUUUAUCUUGACAACUUCAACACUCGUACAUGUUUGAUUGCAGACUGUUGUCCUUAAAGUUGGCAUGUCCUGCCAAGGCUGCGUUGGAGCUGUGAAGAGGGUUUUAGGGAAAAUGGAAGGUUUGUGACCUUUUCCUGAUAUCAGCGAUAAUGCAUGAGCAGUGUACACCAAGCACUGCUCUUAAUGCAUUCUUUUAUUUUCCAAGACGUCAAAUCAAUAUCUUAGACCAUUCACGAUAAUGUCCACUAUGAGGCCAAUAAUAAAAUGCUUAGAAACGGGAAACCAUACUAGUGCACACCUUAGCCACAUUGAAACUUAGGCUAGAGGCAGAAGACUCAGUGAAGCAAGGCAUAAGCCUUUAUAAAUUUCACUAAAGACGUAAGCUUCAGGGUGUUUAACGAAAGCCUAAGUUGAUGUGCUUUUCAAGCCGUAAGCCUUAGACAGCUUUUCAAAACAAUGUUGCCUGGGCAAUAGAGCUUGAGUGUCUUUUCCAUGCUACUGUUUGUGUUUUUCUUUUUCAGUCUUUUGUUGGCUAUGACCUAUUGCUAUACACGUUGGUUAAAUGUUGCUUUCAUGAUUCUUAAGCUUCAAUUGUUGUGCAUCAACGACAAAUGUAACCAUAUUUUAGGGUGUGUACGUGUGGCAAUACUCUGUGAAGAUGAGUGUUUUGCUAGCACUGUGCUUUUAUGUUUAAAGUGAUCGUUGUAUUGGCUAUAUUUCAUUUACCUUUAUCGAAUUUGGUUUGAAAAAUGAUUUCAUUUUAGUUUUUCAAUAAUCCCAACUAUGAAGAAUCUCCCUCCUUUCAGUUAGAAUUUUAAAGCUAUUCUCUUGAAAUUUAGGAAGAAAAGGUAAUGUAGAUGACUUUUAUUUGCAAUAAAUUCUUUCCAACCAACUCUAAGAAGGUACCUUUGUUAAGUAUAUUUUGGGCUUAGCUUUUGUUCUUGGCCAUUAGGGAAGAUGUAUUGCCUACUUUCUCAUCAAACGAAUUCUGGGCCAUAGAAUUUUUCUCGGCCAUGUGGAACUAAAACAAAGAGAAGUUCCUUUCCAUUCGCUUAAUAAAUUUGAAGGUCAAAUUUUCAUAAAAACCUAUUGACUUAUGGAAUCUUGAUGAACAGGUGUUGAAUCGUUUGACAUUGAUAUGGAGCAGCAAAAAGUGACCGUGAAAGGCAAUGUCCAGCCAGAGGCAGUUCUGCGGACUGUUUCAAAGACUGGGAAGGCAACCUCUUUCUGGGAAGCACCCCCUGAAGCUGUUGCUUAAUAUGCUCAUUUACUACACCGGAUAAAUAGAAUGUUUGUUGUGGAACUCGAUUUAAUAACCGCAAGAAAAACAGUGUGUGGGGGUUGGUGUUUGUGGGAGUAUUUGUCAAGCUUUUUAUGCAAACUCGUGAUGUAAACAUGUGUUAUUGUCUAUAAAGACUUUUCAACUACUGUCCAAAAACAUAUGACCUUCUCGCGCGCCUCUCUUCUUUAAUGCAAAUGGUUUGUGCCAACACAGUAUAGUCCUAGAUUUUCUUAAUCAAGUUUCAACCAACUCGAUUUAACAUUUUAGUUUUAUUUACGAGGUAAAACAAAUAUUAGAAUAUAAAUUAUUCUAAAAAUGAAUUGAGAUUUUGUAUUUAGUAGUAUGAGAAGAUGUAUUGGGCAUUCUCCUAAUCAUCAACUCGAGCUUCCUUCUUUUACAGUUGACG